GAUGAUCAAGGAUGACGUGCCCUUAGCCUCAUAGCUCCAUGCUAGCUCCCGUAAUUAGUACUGCUCGGUUGUUCCCGGUUUAGCAGUGGCGACCUUCUACACCCGCUGUCAAUAGGAGCUCCCAAAGAUAAACAUCACUCGCGUUCAUAGGAUUUUCACAACGACAACGACUAAAGACUCAACCGGCAAAUUGGAGAAAGGCUAUUCAUUACAUGCCAUGUGUAUAUUUGCAACUACCAAGCGAUCCGCCAGGCCGUAUCCAAAUCUCUCGUGGCAUACUACCAGAAAUAUGUGGAUGAAGCCUCUAAGAAGUAAAUCUGACAUCCUGAUCCAGUACCACAGGACCCUGUUGGUGGCCGACUCCCGCCGCUGCAAGUCCAACAAGUUUGGUGGACCUGGAGCCUGCGCUUGCUAGCAGAAGUCUUACUGUUAAAAAUGCAAUCUUCAUUUUUAUAUACAAUAAAAAUAAAUAUGGGCCAAAUCA